UACAGAGGGUGCGAGCGUUGUCCGGAAUCACUGGGCGUAAAGGGUGCGUAGGUGGCGCCGUAAGUCGGGUGUGAAAUUUCGGAGCUUAACUCCGAAACUGCAUUCGAUACUGCGGUGCUUGAGGACUGGAGAGGAGACUGGAAUUCAUGGUGUAGCAGUGAAAUGCGUAGAGAUCAUGAGGAAGACCAGUGGCGAAGGCGGGUCUCUGGACAGUUCCUGACACUGAGGCACGAAGGCCAGGGGAGCAAACGGG
rnacentral:rRNA from 1 species